GGCGAGAGUAGUACUAGGAUGGGUGACCUCCUGGGAAGUCCUCGUGUUUGACAGGC
rnacentral:rRNA from 1 species